UACGUAGGGGGCUAGCGUUGUCCGGAUUUAUUGGGCGUAAAGAGCGUGUAGGCGGCCAGGUAGGUCUGCUGUGAAAACUCGAGGCUCAACCUCGAGACGCCGAUGGAAACCAUUUGGCUAGAGUCCGGAAGAGGGGAGUGGAAUUCCUGGUGUAGCGGUGAAAUGCGCAGAUAUCAGGAAGAACACCCGUGGCUAAGGCGGCUCUCUAGUACGGUACUGACGCUGAGACGCGAAAGCGUGGGGAGCGAACAGG
rnacentral:rRNA from 1 species